rnacentral:rRNA from 1 species
GUUGUAUGGUUAAGUGACUAAGCGUACACGGUGGAUGCCUUGGCAGUCAGAGGCGAUGAAAGACGUAGUAACUUGCGAUAAGCCCAGAUUAGGUAGUAACAACCAUUUGAGUCUGGGAUUUCUGAAUGGGGAAACCCACGUGCAUAAGCACGUAUCCUUACCUGAAUACAUAGGGUAAGGAGGCGAACCGGGGGAACUGAAACAUCUAAGUACCCCGAGGAAAAGAAAUCAACCGAGAUUCCGAAAGUAGCGGCGAGCGAAAUUGGACUAGCCCUUAAGCUUUACACGCGUUAGACGAACGGUCUGGAAAGUCCGACGAUACAGGGUGAUAGUCCCGUAGUUGACGACGUGUGUUCAGUGAAAUCGAGUAGGGCGGGACACGUGAUAUCCUGUCUGAAUAUGGGGGGACCAUCCUCCAAGGCUAAAUACUACUGACUGACCGAUAGUGAACCAGUACCGUGAGGGAAAGGCGAAAAGAACCCCUGUGAGGGGAGUGAAAUAGAACCUGAAACCGUGUACGUACAAGCAGUAGGAGCACCUUCGUGGUGUGACUGCGUACCUUUUGUAUAAUGGGUCAGCGACUUAUAUUCAGUGGCAAGGUUAACCAUCUAGGGGAGCCGUAGGGAAACCGAGUCUUAACUGGGCGUUCAGUCUCUGGAUAUAGACCCGAAACCAGGUGAUCUAGCCAUGGGCAGGUUGAAGGUUGAGUAACAUCAACUGGAGGACCGAACCGACUAAUGUUGAAAAAUUAGCGGAUGACUUGUGGCUAGGGGUGAAAGGCCAAUCAAACCUGGAGAUAGCUGGUUCUCCCCGAAAGCUAUUUAGGUAGCGCCUCGGACGAAUACUACUGGGGGUAGAGCACUGUUAAGGCUAGGGGGUCAUCCCGACUUACCAACCCUUUGCAAACUCCGAAUACCAGUAAGUACUAUCCGGGAGACACACGGCGGGUGCUAACGUCCGUCGUGGAGAGGGAAACAACCCAGACCGCCAGCUAAGGUCCCAAAUUACUACUAAGUGGGAAACGAUGUGGGAAGGCUCAGACAGCCAGGAUGUUGGCUUAGAAGCAGCCAUCAUUUAAAGAAAGCGUAAUAGCUCACUGGUCGAGUCGGCCUGCGCGGAAGAUGUAACGGGGCUAAGUAGUAAACCGAAGCUGCGGCAAUAUACUUUUGUAUAUUGGGUAGGGGAGCGUUCUGUAAGCGGUUGAAGGUGUGUGGUAACGCAUGCUGGACGUAUCAGAAGUGCGAAUGCUGACAUGAGUAACGAUAAAGGGGGUGAAAAACCUCCUCGCCGGAAGACCAAGGGUUCCUGUCCAACGUUAAUCGGGGCAGGGUAAGUCGACCCCUAAGGCGAGGCCGAAAGGCGUAGUCGAUGGGAAACGGGUUAAUAUUCCCGUACUUCUUACAAUUGCGAUGGGGGGACGGAGAAGGCUAGGUGGGCCUGGCGACGGUUGUCCAGGUUCAAGUGCGUAGGCUUAAGAGUUAGGUAAAUCCGGCUCUUUUUAAGGCUGAGACACGACGUCGAGCCACUACGGUGGUGAAGUCAUUGAUGCCAUGCUUCCAGGAAAAGCCUCUAAGCUUCAGAUUGUAAGGAAUCGUACCCCAAACCGACACAGGUGGUCGGGUAGAGAAUACCAAGGCGCUUGAGAGAACUCGGGUGAAGGAACUAGGCAAAAUGGUACCGUAACUUCGGGAGAAGGUACGCUCUCGACGGUGAAGUCCCUCGCGGAUGGAGCUAUUGAGAGUCGCAGAUACCAGGUGGCUGCAACUGUUUAUUAAAAACACAGCACUGUGCAAAAUCGUAAGAUGACGUAUACGGUGUGACGCCUGCCCGGUGCCGGAAGGUUAAUUGAUGGGGUUAGACUUCGGUCGAAGCUCUUGAUCGAAGCCCCGGUAAACGGCGGCCGUAACUAUAACGGUCCUAAGGUAGCGAAAUUCCUUGUCGGGUAAGUUCCGACCUGCACGAAUGGCGUAAUGAUGGCCACGCUGUCUCCACCCGAGACUCAGUGAAAUUGAAAUCGCUGUGAAGAUGCAGUGUACCCGCGGCUAGACGGAAAGACCCCGUGAACCUUUACUACAGCUUGGCACUGAACAUUGACCCUACAUGUGUAGGAUAGGUGGGAGGCUUUGAAGCACGUACGCCAGUAUGUGUGGAGCCGUCCUUGAAAUACCACCCUUGUAGUGUUGAUGUUCUAACGUUGACCCCUAAUCGGGGUUGCGGACAGUGCCUGGUGGGUAGUUUGACUGGGGCGGUCUCCUCCCAAAGAGUAACGGAGGAGCACGAAGGUGGGCUAAUCACGGUUGGACAUCGUGAGGUUAGUGCAAUGGCAUAAGCCCGCUUGACUGCGAGAAUGACAAUUCGAGCAGGUGCGAAAGCAGGUCAUAGUGAUCCGGUGGUUCUGAAUGGAAGGGCCAUCGCUCAACGGAUAAAAGGUACUCCGGGGAUAACAGGCUGAUACCGCCCAAGAGUUCAUAUCGACGGCGGUGUUUGGCACCUCGAUGUCGGCUCAUCACAUCCUGGGGCUGAAGUCGGUCCCAAGGGUAUGGCUGUUCGCCAUUUAAAGUGGUACGCGAGCUGGGUUUAGAACGUCGUGAGACAGUUCGGUCCCUAUCUGCCGUGGGCGUUGGAAGAUUGAAGGGGGCUGCUCCUAGUACGAGAGGACCGGAGUGGACGAACCUCUGGUGUUCGGGUUGUGUCGCCAGACGCAUUGCCCGGUAGCUAAGUUCGGAAUCGAUAACCGCUGAAAGCAUCUAAGCGGGAAGCGAGCCCUGAGAUGAGUCUUCCCUGAUACUUUAAGUAUCCUAAAGGGUUGUCGGAGACUACGACGUUGAUAGGUCAGGUGUGUAAGUGCUGUGAGGCAUUGAGCUAACUGAUACUAAUUGCCCGUGAGGCUUAACCAUACAACACCCAAGGGGUUU